CUUAGCGGCGGACGGGUGAGUAACACGUGAGUAACCUGCCUUGAACUGGGGAAUAACACCGUGAAAACGGUGCUAAUACCGCAUAAAGUUGUCUUAUGGCAUCAUAGGACAACCAAAGGAGCAAUCCGGUUGAAGAUGGACUCGCGUCCGAUUAGCUAGUUGGUGAGGUAACGGCCCACCAAGGCGACGAUCGGUAGCCGAACUGAGAGGUUGAUCGGCCACAUUGGGACUGAGACACGGCCCAGACUCC
rnacentral:rRNA from 1 species